rnacentral:rRNA from 1 species
CUUGCCUACGGGGCGCAGCAGUGGGGAAUAUUGGUCAAUGGGCGGGAGCCUGAACCAGCCAAGUCGCGUGAGGGAAGACGGUCCUAUGGAUUGUAAACCUCUUUUGUCGGGGAGCAAAGAGAUCACGUGUGGUCAAAAGCGAGAGUACCCGAAGAAAAAGCAUCGGCUGACUCCGUGCCAGCAGCCGCGGUAAUACGGAGGAUGCGAGCGUUAUCCGGAUUUAUUGGGUUUAAAGGGUGUGUAGGCGGGACGGUAAGUCAGCGGUAAAAAUGCGGAGCUCAACUCCGUCGAGCCGU